rnacentral:rRNA from 1 species
CGGACGGGUGAGUAACGCGUGAGAAUCUGCCUCCAGGUCGGGGACAACAGCGGGAAACUGCUGCUAAUCCCGGAUAAGCCCUAGGGUAAAAGAUUUAUUGCCUGGAGAGGAGCUCGCGUCCGAUUAGCUAGAUGGUGAGGUAAGAGCUCACCAUGGCGACGAUCGGUAGCUGUUCUGAGAGGAAGAUCAGCCACACUGGGACUGAGACACGGCCCAGACUCCUACGGGAGGCAGCAGUGGGGAAUUUUCCGCAAUGGGCGAAAGCCUGAUGGAGCAAGACCGCGUGCGGGAAGAAGGCCCUUGGGUCGUAAACCGCUUUUCUUAGGGAAGAAGCUCUGACGGUACCUAAGGAAUCAGCCUCGGCUAACUCCGUGCCAGCAGCCGCGGUAAUACGGAGGAGGCAAGCGUUAUCCGGAAUUAUUGGGCGUAAAGCGUCCGCAGGCGGCUUAUCAAGUCUGCUGUCAAAGACUGGGGCUCAACCCUGGGGAGGCAGUGGAAACUGAGAAGCUAGAGUGCAGUAGGGGUAGAGGGAAUUCCCAGUGUAGCGGUGAAAUGCGUAGAGAUUGGGAAGAACACCGGUGGCGAAAGCGCUCUACUGGGCUGCAACUGACGCUGAGGGACGAAAGCUAGGGGAGCGAAAGGGAUUAGAUACCCCUGUAGU